AAGUAUCGAUUGAGAUUUUUUAUUAUAAAAAUCAGUAAAGUAAAAAAAAAAUUAUAUAUUUGGUAACGCUUUUUGCAAUUACGUCAUAAAUAGCAGUGCUGAUGGGCCAAGAUCUUAAGUUUGACAGAGCUAAUGGUUCAGAACUUGAUGUGUUAUUACACUUGUGAAGAAGUGAAACAGCUUCGUGAUGUCAGAGUUAAAUCAAAAUCUCACCCUUCUACACGAUGCAGUGCCCAAGUCUAGCUGGCUUGGGUGUUACAAAAAUUUAGAUUUACCAAUCAACAAGAAUGCA